rnacentral:rRNA from 1 species
UACAGAGGUGGCAAGCGUUGUUCGGAAUUACUGGGCGUAAAGGGCGCGUAGGCGGCCUACUAAGUCAGACGUGAAAUCCCCCGGCUUAACCUGGGAACUGCGUCUGAUACUGGAAGGCUUGAGGAUGGGAGAGGGAUGUAGAAUUCCAGGUGUAGCGGUGAAAUGCGUAGAGUAUCUGGAGGAACACCGGUGGCGAAGGCGGCAUCCUGGACCGGCAUUGACGCUGAGGAGCGAAAGCCAGGGGAGCAAACGGG